CAUGCAAGUCGAACGAUGACCUCCUUCGGGAGGGGAUUAGUGGCGAACGGGUGAGUAACACGUGGGCAAUCUGCCCUGCACUCUGGGACAAGCCCUGGAAACGGGGUCUAAUACCGGAUACUGAUCAUCUUGGGCAUCCUGGAUGAUCGAAAGCUCCGGCGGUGCAGGAUGAGCCCGCGGCCUAUCAGCUUGUUGGUGAGGUAACGGCUCACCAAGGCGACGACGGGUAGCCGGCCUGAGAGGGCGACCGGCCACACUGGGACUGAGACACGGCCCAGACUCCUACGGGGAGGCAGCAGUGGGGAAUAUUGCACAAUGGGGCGCAAGCCUGAUGCAGCGACGCCGCGUGAGGGAUGACGGCCUUUCGGGUUGUAAACCUCUUUCAGCAGGGAGAGAGC
rnacentral:rRNA from 1 species